rnacentral:rRNA from 1 species
ACGCUCGACACCUACGGAGGCAGCAGUGGGGAAUAUUGCACAAUGGGGGAAACCCUGAUGCAGCGACGCCGCGUGGAGGAAGAAGGUCUUCGGAUUGUAAACUCCUGUUGUUGGGGAAAAAGAGGAUGGUACCCAACAAGGAAGUGACGGCUAACUACGUGCCCGCAGCCGCGGUAAUCUGAGCGGGCUGGCAAGGC